rnacentral:lncRNA from 12 species
GACCCAGCCACUUACUACCGUGGAAUUUGAAGCAGUUUGCUCAGCGUCCCGGCCGUGGGGCCGCGCACCCCGAGAGCCCCUGCCACGCGCGGCUGAGCAUCGCCACGCAGGGAGGAGCCGAUUUCCUUUAAAAUUUUAUUCUCCUAAGUCCUCGCCUCCCGCAGUGCCGGCCCCGGGUGCCCGGAGUCAGGGGCUUCCCGGGCUCUGCUGGCCGCCCUGGCACCCGGGGGCAGGGGCCCCAUCAUGACUCUUUCCUCGGAUUUGGUUCGGAAAAAAGAAAUUCCUGCUCCUCGUCAUCACGCACGCCGGGUCCUGCCGGGGGCUGCGCGGUCCCUCCUGCCCCGCGUCUUCCGGGGGCGACCUGCGUGGGUGCUCGCUGUUUGGGUGUGAUGCCCGGAGGCCUGGCCCUGUGCACACGGAAAAACAAACCCACCCGUCUACACCGGGUGCCAGAGGCGGGCUGGCGCGCCCCGACUCGGCGCUGGACUGGCAGGGGGCCGGGCUGGGGCUUGGGGCCCCCAGCAGGUACGUGAGGCCAGAGCCCCAAUCGGAAGGGCCGGUCCCCUCGU